GCAUUGGUGGUUCAGUGGUAGAAUUCUUGCCUGCCACGCGGCAGGCCUGGGUUCAAUUCCCAGUCUAAUGCA